AACGCCCGCAUCCUGGGCCAGGAUUUGUGCCGCCGCCGCUUCCAGAGUGAGAAGCAGAGCCCGGUUUGAGGCUGCCCAUCGUGCCCGCCUAGGAACGGCCCAGGCUUCUCGACCCCCUGGUGGCUGAGGAAACGAAAAUCGUGGUGAGACAUGGACCAGUAAUGUCUGGCGGCCCUUUGACAUGUGAGAGUCUCCAUCUUUCUCAAGGCCCUGCACAGAUCAGUACAGGAAGAUCACAGCACUGCACUCCUCACCCUGGAGGCCAACUGUAUGCCCAAAGGACACGAUUCUGCACCGUGCCAAAGGAACAGCGUGAGGAGGGCACAAAACGUUUACCAGAGAGGGGUACUCCAUCGGGAAAUUUCCCUGCAGGCACUGUCUUUAUGCCCAAAGAGAGGAUCCACACAGGUUCGCCAGGAUGCAAACCUGCACUCCA